UACGGGGGGAGCAAGCGUUGUUCGGAUUUACUGGGCGUAAAGGGCGCGUAGGCGGUCAGCACAAGUCAGUUGUGAAAUCUCCGGGCUUAACUCGGAAAGGUCAACUGAUACUGUGCGACUAGAGUGCAGAAGGGGCAACUGGAAUUCUCGGUGUAGCGGUGAAAUGCGUAGAUAUCGAGAGGAACACCUGCGGCGAAGGCGGGUUGCUGGGCUGACACUGAAGCUGAUGCGCGAAAGCGUGGGGAUCAAACAGG
rnacentral:rRNA from 1 species